AUUGAACGCUGGCGGCAGGCUUAACACAUGCAAGUCGAGCGAGCGGCGGACGGGUGAGUAAUGUCUGGGAAACUGCCUGAUGGAGGGGGAUAACUACUGGAAACGGUAGCUAAUACCGCAUACCAUCAGAUGUGCCCAGAUGGGAUUAGCUAGUAGGUGGGGUAAUGGGUCACCUAGGCGACGAUCCCUAGCUGGUCUGAGAGGAUGACCAGCCACACUGGGACUGAGACACGGUCCAGACUCCUACGGGAGGCAGCAGGGGGGAAUAUUGCACAAUGGGCGCAAGCCUGGUGCAGCCAUGCCGGGUGUGAUAAGAAGGCCCUCGGGUUGGAAAGCACUUUCAGCGAGGAGGCGGUACUCGCAGAAGAAGCACCGGCUAACUCCGGGCCAGGCGCCGCGGUUAUUC
rnacentral:rRNA from 1 species